UCUGAACACACAAAACACUCAGGAUAUAACCUUGCAGACCAUGUACCGGAAAAUGGUUCUUGUAUUUUCUAACUUUAGAUGUACGUCUAUAACAAUGAUUCUUGGUGAUAUCUUAAAGCACAAACAUGCUGUUUUCUAGUGCGGUUGAUAUUGCAACAAAUUUGGCCAUAUGUACAACAAAUUCCAUGAACUAGUGGCUGAAUUAUAAUUGUCCGUCUGUUGAAUCUCUUGAUGUUCCUGCUUUAUACGAAAAGUACACUACCUCAAGUAGAAAACCAUUGUAGAUGUAGAAAUCCGUUGGUAAAACUUGUGCGUCUAUCUGCACUUCUACAUUCAGCCUAUAUUCACUAUUAAAAUGCCAUGUUUCAAUCAAUCUUAGCACUUUCAGAGAGCAUGUGUUAUAUAUAUAUAAUGUAUUUACAAGGUGAAUCAAUACCAUGCAUGUUUUUACAAUAUCACACGUGCAAAAAUUAUCAUAAGUAUAAACACAAAAACUAUCAUAACACCGACAGACACAUUUUCGCUGAUCGAAAUUGACACUGCCUACAAUUCGCACAAAGUGCUUCUGAGAUACCCUUUCUUUCUUCUUUUCUUGAUAACCAAGCCAAGUGGGGGAGGAGGUACCAAAUGAAUUUUCCGAUGCAAUACAUGGUUAGCCAUCCCAAAAAUUACCUCAAAACACAUUUAGCUGCAUUCUAAACCUCAAAACCAAAACCCAAACACCAUAUGGAAUAAUACAAGCCAAGUUCAACAAUGUUGUUUAUCACUACACAGUUUCAAAAAGCUUGUAAAUCAUAUUUGUACUUAUCAGAUCAUUUGUAAUAUGACCUCUGUUUCAUUAUGUUAUUUAACGUUGUGAUUUAAACUUACGUGUUAUUUGUUCAAUUGAUUAUGUAUGGGGCCACGAAAAUACUUUAUGGCUUCUGUCCUACCCCUUCAUGUAUUUAUUUCCUAUUUUCAAUUUGUUUUAAAUUUAUGUAUAGGUAUGAGAAGAAAUAAAGAGCAAAGAACAAAUUUUUCCCCACUGCAAAACUGGAUUUGCCGUAUUUAUUUUGGUUCAAAAGGUAAGAGGUUUUCUCUGACAUUUCAACAAGCUACAGCCAGAAGAAAUGAGCUGUCAUUAUAUUCAACUACGGGUCAAAAUAUCGACACAAUUUUCUGCCAUAUUUUAAGUAGACAUGUUUCUGUCAUCCCUUACAGAAAUCUCGACCAUUGAAAUUCGCAAAGAAAAAAUAUCUUAAAAAAUAAUAAGAUAUUCAGGUCGGGGGUACGCAAGAUGCACUCGACUGCAUAACUUAAAUGUCUGUUCUCCCCAAGGCAUUCCAAACAUAAUAACUAUAAUGUUAAAUGAAAAGUUCUAGUAUGUUUGCUUAGUUUUUCUUCGGCAUGCGGUGUCUUUGACCUUCAGUUCCGGAAAACCUCGGCACUCGAACUUGUACAUCAGGCGAACCGGACCGAUCCUGAAUGCGUUUGUUCCAACCGGAAACUGUUUGUCCAGCCACCUCAGCUUCUUCCCGCUGUAUCCACGCUCUGGAUGAAGGGACGGCAUCAGUUCAGAUGACAGCCAUUUCCAAGCACCGUCCACUGAAGUCACCUGCAGGCAAGCGUGCUAUUCUGUAGCGACGUCUUGACGUAGUACGCGUUUACAUCCGUGUCCAACACCCCGAUGUAAAAGUACGUCAGGCUGAAGAUCAGCAGCAGGACCAGACGGACCAGGAUGUCUCUACCCUGCGUCAUCCGCUCGGGCCAGUUCGGGUCGUGGUCGGCUUUCUUC